GGUUAACAAUUUGAGAGAGACUACAAACGACUCCAGGAGCCCUGGCUUCCCCGCACCAUGCACCGCAUCUAGUCAGCAUGAGGUCAGCAAAACAAAUCAAUGAAACAUGAAAACUCCCAGCUGAGAUGGGCCCUCUUGUGUACGUCUAGCCACUAAUGCACAGGAUGAGAAUGCGGUCCCAAAGAAAUCCGGUACAUAAAUUUGCCGUAUUUUGUGAAGCCCAUUCUCAGCGAUGGGUACUGUUCAGCUCCAAAAAAACAGAAAUGAAGAAAGACGAGGAAAGCUAAUUCAUACUAAAAACGGACAUUUUUAAGACACAGCAACUUGUAAAUCUCAACAUGGGACCACACUGUUGCCUUCAUGGGGGUGAGUACCUUAAUGAAACCAUUACCUUCUUAGUAACAUCAUAGGCUUCCAAACAAGGUGAGAAUGCAAGUGGAAGACUUAGGUCUGCACCCUUUACAGAACAGCACAAUGUUACCGACUGAUCAUUUUUCACCAGCUUAAUUAGGUGUCUUAAAAAAUAAAUGCUGACCCAUGGCUGAAACCUGUCACUUUUCACAGCAGCACUCAACAAGAACUGGGACAAUCGAAGAGCAAGUUUUUAUGGGGACCCUGUUGCUGCUUUAGAUUCUGAUGUAAUUGAAGAGGAUAAGAGACCCUUCAAAGAAUCCCAGAAAAAUC